rnacentral:ncRNA from 2 species
GCAUAAUACCCGUUCGCCGGUGCCUUUCGGGGCCUAAGAGGGAACACGCAUCAUGGCGAUGACCGUGACUACCCCCGCAACUGUAUGCAGCGAGGCUAGCGCUUUUCAUGGACCACAGCAGGCGUUAUAGCGCUAGCUCUGGUCGACAGCUCAUAAAACCUGCCGGCUAAUAGUUCGUGCC